UACGUAGGGGGCGAGCGUUGUCCGGAAUCAUUGGGCGUAAAGCGCGUGUAGGUGGCUUGGUAAGUCCGGUGUGAAACCUUGGGGCUCAACCCCAAGCCUGCACUGGAUACUGCCUCGCUUGAGUCCGGGAGGGGAGAGCGGAGUUCCUAGUGUAGCGGUGAAAUGCGCAGAUAUUAGGAAGAACACCGGUGGCGAAGGCGGCUCUCUGGAACGGUACUGACGCUGAGACGCGAAAGCGUGGGGAGCGAACAGG
rnacentral:rRNA from 1 species